rnacentral:rRNA from 1 species
GGGAGGCUGCAGUCGAGAAUCUUUCGCAAUGGGCGCAAGCCUGACGAAGCGACGCCGUGUGGAUGAUGACAGCUUUCGGGUUGUAAAGUCCUUUCGCUUGGGAGCAAGAGAAAUUAGUUAAUAACUAAUUAUUUGAGAGUACCAGGUAAAGAAG